UUGAAGUGCAGCAGCCCUGUGCUUGGCUUUGUGCCCUUUCUCUGGACCCACUUGCCAGCUCCGUGUCUAUCUUGUGCUGUGGGCCCAGGCCACCAGCUGCUGUCUUUGUGAUUCCAUCUGCUGUCCGGAAACAAUCGCUCGCAGUCAGUAUGUUUGCAGAUGAUGCUGAAGGAUGAGGAACCAUCGCCUCCUCAGGAGUAGAAAGGUUUGGAUGCAACAUCUCCACGCAGCAGCAGGCAGCACGUUCACCCACCGCAUGAAGUUGGCCAAGAGCAAGCGUGGGACAGGCUGGCCCAGGAGUCUGCAUCACCAGAGGCAUUCCAGGAAAGGAGCAGGACCUAUUUCCAUCGGCCACAUCAGACUUCACUCUCCACUCAGGACAAAGCUCCGCAGGAACCAACUCACCAAGGCUGGAUGCACAGGGUUCGGCCAAGAAGCACCAGCUCGAGUCACCCAGCGAGAAACCAGAGAUAGUCCUCAGCAAACUCAUCCAGGUUGCUUUCUGAAGGCAGCACCACUCCAUGCUCAGGGAGUUCCACCAAGUUGGAGAAACUCCUGCAACGCAGCUGCAACCAUACAGGCACCAGAGAAAUGCACCAAGCCAUUUCAUUGGGCAAGUCAAGUGAGCCUGAUACAUGGUCCUUUUGAAAGAGAGCCAGCAUCACCCGCUGCCCACCCCACAGAACUGAACUUACCUACCAGCAUUCUGGGGGCAGACGCUGAGAAGAAAACAGAGUUAGACCGGGAAGUUCUCCUCCGCCAUUCCACUUCAGCAAGAAGGGCUUCACCUUCCUCUCAGGACUCCAGCAGCACACCCAACCCUGAAAUAAAAGAACACUGCAGUGUCAGACAUUAACUGGACCCACAGUCUCACACUCCUCCAAGAGAGGGGCUGAAACAAAAGCACACCCUCACACAGAACACGCUUGCAUGCCUGGAACUCCUUAAAACCCAGACAGGGCACAGCUCACCUUGCUCCAGAAGGGCACCAUCGCAGUUCUUGGUCUGGCCCUGAACCUGAAAAAAACAGCUGUCAGCCCUCCAGUUGCAGACCACCCUGAAACAACAAGAAAACAAUGAAGCCAGAGGGAUGGGAAGGGUCUCACUCUCCAGGGCGCACCACCUGGGAAAGCCUCCAGACCAAGCUUCCAUAGCCCCAGGCAAGGCAACACCAUAACUGCUUUGUCGCUCACAGUCCAGUCCUUCUUCCUGCUGGUGUUCCCCUCCAUGAAUGCCGCGCAGCUCUCAUCAGCGAGACUCCUGCACCUGAAAUAUGCACCAACAGGAGUCACAUUCUGCCCCCUCCCAUCUAAACUAACCCCACAAACUUACAGUGCUACCAGCUUGCUCUAGCUGAAGCCACCUUGACUGCCCCAGACUAUUUUCUUCUCUUCCCAGUGCCAGGAUGUGACAUCUAGAACAAGUUGUUCCCACACCUCACUGGAAAGGAUGCAAGGCCGUGCUUCUCACCCUGUUUGAAGGCUGCGCCAACGCUGGCUGUCCUCUGGUCCUCAGACGCAUUUCCUAUAGGAAAGAUCAGACAGAGUCAGAGACAGCUGUUGGGCUGUCUCCUCAGCACACACACCUGUAUCCCAUUAGGGCCAAGGGACUUGCAGACACACAUUUCACCUACAUCGUCUCUUACCACCUCCUCCAGGAUCCCUGAGGAGAGCUCUCAGCAGUACCCUCUGAAGAGAAGGCAGUCAGCACCUCUGCAUUCCCUGGUCUCCUUCUUGCUGCUGACAAACUGCUACAAUAUUUAACAGAAAUUCAGGAAUCAGAAGGACCAACACCAUGGAAAAGGUGUUACAAAAGAGGUGGAAGGAGCAGCACAACAGCAAGGUGCUGCAAGGGAAGGGAAGCACAUCACUCACCCGUAUCCAAAGAUUCUGGGUUUGCAGGGGAAGGCCUCCACCAAGGAGGAAGCUCCACAAAGAGAUCCUUCCUCACUGAGGGUCAGCCCUUAAAUGAGCCUGAAGAGGGGUGCAGCCAGGCUCCUCCCCUUCUGGUUACACAGUGAAUUGCCUUCACCUGUGCUCCCAAGGACUUUCCUCCAGGUGCUCAAUCAGUGCUUCAGGCCCUGACUCAGCAGUUCCCAUGCAAAACUCCACCUCCCACCCCAGAGGUGAUGCUGAACAGGCCUCAGCCUUCUGUGCCCCAAUCUCUUCCUUCUCCCCUUCCAGUUUAUUUGAGAGCUCCUCUGUCUCCUGCUGUUUCAGCUCCAUUUCUUCCUCUUUGGGAUACACCCCUCUGCACACACAGGAACUAAUCUUCCAGCUUCAGUCACCGCUGCUCGUGGGAACCCUUCCCAUGCUGUAACCUAAGCGACGCCUCCGAGCAGCUCCUGUAAGAGGCAAAGUAAGAACUCCAAUCUUCCACACCCCGCAGGAACCUCCCGCAACCAGCGUGCCCCGCAGGGCGGUUCCAGCCCACCCUGAGCAGCGACACCCGCAGCCAGGAGGCCACUUCCAGCCGCGUGCCGAAGCGCUCGCCAGCUUCCUCGUCCAGGGCUGGAUGAUGUCCCCCACGUCUUCUUCCCACGCCAGCGCCGCGCUCGUUCUCCAUCCAUCCCCGGGCACGGCUCAAUACCUGCCGCUUCUCCCGCGGGAAGAGCAACUCCGCCGCCUCGCCGCUCCGUCUGUUCUCAACACAGCGCAGCCAGCCGCAACAGCGUGCCGGUCCCGCGAGCCGCCCCGCCGCGUCUCCGCGGUGGGAACGAGAUCGCGCUCCUAGAGUUGCACCUAGGGGGAGAAUACACACGGUCCCGUCCCGCUCGCUCCCGCCGCUGUCAGCGGGAGGGGCCGAAGCCUCCGCGACACCUACCCGACACCGCCCCGGGGCCGCGCUCGCUCUCGGUCCCACAGACAGAGAACGUACGCGGCGAUUACCGAACGCUCACCCCUUCGGGCCGACGGGCGCUCCGCCGCAGCCCUGGCUCCGCCUGCAAGAAGAAAACGCUUGGCUUCGUGCGGCGCCGAGGUCGGAGACGGCCGGCCCCGUCCCGCUCGCUUCCCCCGUGAAGAGCGGAGAGAACUGAAGAACUCGCUACAACGAAAAUAAAGAAAGAAACAAACCCA
rnacentral:lncRNA from 1 species